rnacentral:lncRNA from 1 species
CUGUAUGUGACUACUGAUUACUAAUGUUCAUUACUCUCCAAAUUUGUUUUAGUUGAGGAGUUUAAUUGAUUAUUGAAUUUAUGUAGAUAUCAUGUAAAAUGUCGUUUUACUAUGUUCACCUUGUAGAAUAUCUUUUGCCUUUUAUAUGAUGUGAUGAUGCAGUCCUUUACUGAGAUUCUAAGUAAAUGGCAGUUCAUCUUACCAGAUUUUAUGUAGUAAUUUAUUAUCUUUUUAGUGCCUCCCUCUCCUUAAUCCUCUUUAUAUUUUCACAAUUUGACCCUUAUUUUCUCCCAUUCCGCAGUCUAUUGUCUGUGCCUAACGCUCUAUCAGAUUUUUUACUUUUGUCUAAAUUUCUUAUUUCUUGCAUUCUAUUUUUUGUUUGAGGUAUGUAUGUUGAUAUAAUGAAGGAACUGAUAAAUCUUAUUGAGCAUCAAGGACAAAACUUUUCAAUGAAUUGUGCGCAGAUUUACGAUGAUGGUUCUUCAUGCAUAUUAAUUCUGCAUCUCACAUUCUCAAUUUAAAGUAAAAUUAAAAAAAAAAACAGGUGCAUGGCAUAUUGUAGUUGCUGUAUUUUGUUUGGUCAAUUAUAUAUUCAUAUUUAUCUUACUUUUCCCGUAUUGCAUCUAAAAAAAUCUCACUUUCCUGCAAUGCAAUACAUUACAGCAAUACAGUUCAAUAUAUUCUUGCAUGCCAUUCACUUGAAUGUUCAAUAACUGCUUGGCUCAGUAUUAUCCUUUUACCGUGUUGUGAUACACGAGGUUCACUUUGUAACAUCUUUGAAAUCUUUGAAGUUCAAAUAAAGUUAAUUUCACUUAAAUUUCAGGAUGGAAUUGAAGAAUGCCGUAAACUAUGUGGUGGCCAUGGUUACCUUUGUAGUAGUGGUCUCCCUGAGUUAUUUGCAGUAUAUGUUCCUACCUGCACCUAUGAAGGAGACAACGUUGUGCUGCAAUUACAGGUUUGUUAAAUGUUAACUAUAGCAUGUGUUAUCACAUUGAGUAUUAUUAAUUGAUGUACUUUUUUAUCAAGCUCUUCCUAAUCUGUAAAUAGGACUAUUGCUGUGUGGCAGCUUGCCUGUUUAUGCAGAGUUGGAAUUUUUUUCUUUUUGGUGAGAAGAGCUGUGAUUUUAUUUACUUGUAUUUGAUGUGUUCAUAUACAUUAUUGUAAACAUGUGCAUAUUUUUAGUAAAGCCUUUGUAUUUGAUUGAUAUUGGAUACAUAAAAAUAUGAUGUUAUACUUUUUUCUUCUUUUUUUGGUUUAAGAUUUUGGGACCAUCAACUCUAUCAUAUUUAUCUGAAAAGGGUGGUCCAUUGCACGAGGCUUCCACCUAGUGGGGUAUGGGGAGGGUGGAUGUAUGCAGCCUUACCCUCGCAAUCGAAUAGAGUAUCCAAGAUUUGAACCCAUGACCUCCAAGUCACAUGGCAAACAACCUUAUUGUUGUGCCAAGGCUCGCCUUCUUCUAUGAUAUUGAUCUUAGCAACAACAAAAAAUUAUGAAAAUACCAAAAGGAUUGAAAUAAGUUAAAUAAAAUCUUAUCCCAUGUGGCUUGUCUUAUACACUUCAUGCUGUACAUAAAGUCUUUCAUGUGCCCCUUCUACAUUUCUGUGCUUCAUAUUACAUUCUGAUGCAGUCUUCUUUGGGAGGUUAGGUUGCAAGGCAUCUCAUGAAGACCAUUUCUCAGUUGGGCUCUGGAAAAAAGCCGAUUGGUACAACAGCUUAUAUCGGGCGAUUGGAACAAUUGAUGCAAUAUCGUUCUGAUGUUCAGAAAGGUAUAUAAUGAAUCUGGAUUUGAUUUGAGAAUAUGCAAAUUCUAACCAUAUCAAUCUGUUGAUAUCCAAAUGUCUUGGUUUGAGAUAAUAUUACUAACUAUGCCUUUGCCCUUUAGGAGUUAUAAUUAUUGACUUAUUGUAAUUGCUUGCAGCUGAAGACUGGUUGAAACCUGAUGUAGUGCUGGGAGCAUUUGAAUCUAGGGCUGCUAGGAAGUCUGUUGCUGUUGCUCAAAAUCUUAGCAAGUUUUCCAACCCUGAAGAGGGUAAACGAAUCAAUUUGUGUUCUUGGUGCAGAAAAGCACAUAUAUAAAUAUCUUUUAAGAGCACAUGCAUGAAUGAAUGACUUUUGCAGUUAAUGCAACUUCAUUAGAUAUGAUCAUAUUGAGUGCUAAUGCUUUUUUUGAUGGCAGGUUUCCAGGAACUCUCAGCCGAUCUAGCUGAGGCAGCAGUUGCUCAUUGCCAGUUAAUUGUUGUUUCCAAGUGAGCUUUUUCCCAUUUUUACUGAUAUGUUCCUACCUGCACCUAUGAAGGAGACAACGUUGUGCUGCAAUUACAGGUUUGUUAAAUGUUAACUAUAGCAUGUGUUAUCACAUUGAGUAUUAUUAAUUGAUGUACUUUUUUAUCAAGCUCUUCCUAAUCUGUAAAUAGGACUAUUGCUGUGUGGCAGCUUGCCUGUUUAUGCAGAGUUGGAAUUUUUUUCUUUUUGGUGAGAAGAGCUGUGAUUUUAUUUACUUGUAUUUGAUGUGUUCAUAUACAUUAUUGUAAACAUGUGCAUAUUUUUAGUAAAGCCUUUGUAUUUGAUUGAUAUUGGAUACAUAAAAAUAUGAUGUUAUACUUUUUUCUUCUUUUUUUGGUUUAAGAUUUUGGGACCAUCAACUCUAUCAUAUUUAUCUGAAAAGGGUGGUCCAUUGCACGAGGCUUCCACCUAGUGGGGUAUGGGGAGGGUGGAUGUAUGCAGCCUUACCCUCGCAAUCGAAUAGAGUAUCCAAGAUUUGAACCCAUGACCUCCAAGUCACAUGGCAAACAACCUUAUUGUUGUGCCAAGGCUCGCCUUCUUCUAUGAUAUUGAUCUUAGCAACAACAAAAAAUUAUGAAAAUACCAAAAGGAUUGAAAUAAGUUAAAUAAAAUCUUAUCCCAUGUGGCUUGUCUUAUACACUUCAUGCUGUACAUAAAGUCUUUCAUGUGCCCCUUCUACAUUUCUGUGCUUCAUAUUACAUUCUGAUGCAGUCUUCUUUGGGAGGUUAGGUUGCAAGGCAUCUCAUGAAGACCAUUUCUCAGUUGGGCUCUGGAAAAAAGCCGAUUGGUACAACAGCUUAUAUCGGGCGAUUGGAACAAUUGAUGCAAUAUCGUUCUGAUGUUCAGAAAG